rnacentral:rRNA from 1 species
AAACUGAAGAGUUUGAUCCUGGCUCAGAUUGAACGCUGGCGGAAUGCUUUACACAUGCAAGUCGAGCGGCAGCAUGGACUUCGGUCUGAUGGCGAGCGGCGAACGGGUGAGUAAUGUAUAGGAACAUACCUAGUAA